rnacentral:rRNA from 1 species
GAUGAACGCUAGCGGCAGGCCUAACACAUGCAAGUCGAGGGGCAUCAUGGCGUAGCAAUACGCUGAUGGCGACCGGCGCACGGGUGCGUAACGCGUAUGGAACCUACCCACCGCAGGGGGAUAACCCGCCGAAAGGCGGACUAAUACCCCAUGGUUCCCCGACCCUGCCUGGGGUUGGGGGUAAAGCCUACGGGCGGCGGUGGAUGGCCCUGCGUGCCAUUAGCUGGCUGGUGGGGUAACGGCCCACCAGGGCGACGAUGGCUAGGGGGUCUGAGAGGACGAUCCCCCACACUGGUACUGAGACACGGACCAGACUCCUACGGGAGGCAGCAGUGAGGAAUAUUGGUCAAUGGGCGGAAGCCUGAACCAGCCAUGCCGCGUGCAGGAUGACGGCCCUACGGGUUGUAAACUGCUUUUCCCCGGGGCGAACUAACCCCCUCGCGAGGGGGAGUGGCCGGGUACCGGGGGAAGUAAGGGACGUACGGGCGUAAACCGUCCGUCGCCCGACGGCCGACGGCCCGGACCGGUAAAAACUCCGAACCGGUGUACCGUGGAGGCCGGGCGUAC